AUGGAUAAUUUCGAGGGAACGAUGGAGCAAAUCUGUCAGUUGGUGAUGGAGCAGCAGGCACGACCGCAAGUCACGGUGGAGCAGAUUCGUCAACUGAUUUUGGAGCAACCAGUGCGGAAUCACGCUAGAAAUGGACGACCACAUGUGAGAAAUGGUUACGAUGGCGACGACGAGGACGAAAGAGAAUGGAGUACGAUUUCUCAUGAAUCGCGACCAAGACACCGUCGUCAAAGGGGUGGAAACAGAGCCCGAUUCUUUGGAAGCAGACGAAGGUUGGAAAUACCCAUUUUCAAAGGCGAAGACGCGUAUGGGUGA